GGUAAGCAUGUCACUGUCAAAGUUUACAGUCAAGAGAAGACUUCAUGAGAGCAAAUACAGAGGAUUCACCACAAGAUGCAAACAAGGCCAGAUUAGACUUUGCCAAAAAA